rnacentral:tRNA from 1 species
GCGGGAAUAGCUCAGUUGGUAGAGCGCAACCUUGCCAAGGUU